rnacentral:rRNA from 1 species
GACGAACGCUGGCGGCGUGCCUAAAACAUGCAAGUCGAGCGGGGUGAGCUGAACUGGCGCGAGCCAGGGAGGCUUACCCAGCGGCGGACGGGUGAGUAACGCGUGAGCAACCUGUCCUCGAGACCGGGAUAACAGCUCGAAAGGGCUGCUAAUACCGGAUGAGCUUCUUCUGCCGCAUGGUGGGAGGAGGAAAGGGGGGACCCGCUCGGGGAGGGGCUUGCGUCCCAUUAGCUAGUUGGUAGGGUAACGGCCUACCAAGGCUGCGAUGGGUAGCCGGCCUGAGAGGGUGUACGGCCACACUGGGACUGAGACACGGCCCAGACUCCUACGGGAGGCAGCAGUUGGGAAUCUUGGACAAUGGGGGAAACCCUGAUCCAGCGACGCCGCGUGGGGGAAGAAGGCCUUCGGGUUGUAAACCCCUGUCACCGGGGACGAAGUCCUCCGUGAGGAGGGUGACGGUACCCGGGGAGGAAGCCCCGGCUAACUACGUG